UUGGAGGGCAAGUCUGGUGCCAGCAGCCGCGGUAAUUCCAGCUCCAAUAGCGUAUAUUAAAGUUGUUGCAGUUAAAAAGCUCGUAGUUGAAUUUCGAGACCGGUUUACUGGUCGUGCUUUUGUACGUACUGGUAUUAUUGGUUUCUCCUUUCUGACGAACUAUAAUGCCAUUAAUUUGGUGUUAUAGGGAAUCAGGACUGUUACUUUGAAAAAAUUAGAGUGUUUAAAGCAGGCUCACGCUUGAAUACAUUAGCAUGGAAUAACGGAAUAGGACGUUUGAUUCUAUUUUGUUGGUUUCUAGGAUCGACGUAAUGAUUAAUAGGGAUAGUUGGGGGCAUUAGUAUUCAAUUGUCAGAGGUGAAAUUCUUGGAUUUAUUGAAGACUAACUACUGCGAAAGCACUUGCCAAGGAUGUUUUCAUUAAUCAAGAACGAAAGUUAGGGGAUCGAAGACGAUCAGAUACCGUCGUAGUCUUAACCAUAAACUAUGCCGACUAGGGAUCGGAUGAUGUUAAUUUUUUAAUGACUCAUUCGGCGCCUUACGGGAAAC
rnacentral:rRNA from 1 species